CACCUCCUCUUCCUAGUCUCCUCCGACGGCGGCAACCACCGACAGGGAGCGAAGAUGAAGAAGAUCUUCGGGGCCAAGAAUAAGGGACCGCCGCCCUCCAUCGAGGACGCCGCCGAGCGAGUCGGUCACUGGUCUCUUGUCUGCUGCUAUUGCCACUCUCCUUCUCUCGCUCGUAGUAGCAACUGCGUUGAUUCGUGGGCAAUGUGCAACCAAUCCCUCUUUUGAUGAUUUGGUCUCGAAUGCGCGACGAAUCAGUCGAUUUGAUGCAAAUUGCCGGCACAUAAACAAGCGGGCCGAGUCGGUGGACGACAAGAUCAAGAGGCUGGACGAGGAGCUGGCCAGGUACAAGGACCAGAUCCGCAAGACCCGCCCCGACCCUUCCCAGGAAGCCAUCAAUGCACGCGCCAUCCGACUUUCAAGCACAAGCGCGUGUAACUGUACUCUUUGAACCUCUCUACGCUUUGAAGCGGAUUCUGUCCCAAUUUCUCACCAGUCAUCCAUUUCUGUUACAAUCACUUCCACUUCUGUUUCUUGUCUGCUUGCUUGCUAUUCCUGCUUAAUUCUAGGGAUCAUCCAAGUUGCAAUCUCACUCAAAUACUAGUAGCAGGCAGCCAUUAUCCGUUUAUAUCGAUUUGACAUUGCCCAUUUGCCUCCGAGGUACGAGGAACAGCGCAACAUGCUUUACAAUCAAACCUAUAAUCUCGACCAAGUUGCUUUCGCUGCCGACGGCCUCAAAGACGCUCAGCAGACUAUGAAUGCAAUGAAGGCUGCAAACAAAGAGCUCAAGGGAAUGAUGAAAACGGUCAAGAUUGAGGACAUAGAUGACUAGAUGUCUAGCAUCAAAUAGGUCAGAAGCUUCAGGAUCCUUCCAUCUUUGGAGCUGAUCAUUCGAAUUGGCUAUAUCGCACUAAUGUAACCUACAUCGUGGAACCUUCAGCCUUUUAUUGUGGCUAACUUUCUGAGUGAUUUAGUAUCGACACAAUAAAUUGCCCAAUCCUACAACAUCACCCAAAUUGGGGGAUGCUUGAUGGACUGCCUUUAGUAUUUCCUGAUUUAUUUAUUUUCAAUUUGUUGCUUACUCUCCCUUCCUUUUUUUGGUGACUGAAGUGUAUUUACUCAUUCCUGCAAUUUCUAGAAUAUGCAAGAUGAAAUGACGGAUCUGAUGGACGUGAGCAAUGAGAGAUACAAGAAACUCUUGGUAGAAGCUACAACAUCCCUGAUGACGUUGAUGAAGAAGAACUGAUGGGGGGUGUGGAACCUGUAAUUUUAUCUUGGCAGUAUGAAAACUCUAUCAGCUUCGAGCUUCGAUGUUUUUUUGGUCCAUCACAAGGCAGUAUGGUUAUUCAUUAAUGGUUCUAAAUGAUAACAUAGAUUCAUGCCCUAAAUGGCCUUUCUUUUCUUCCUUGCCAUCUUGCUCUUAGACCUCUUUAUUUCUGGGUCUAGUUGGCACUGGUUAUUGCAUACUUUGUGGAGGGAAUCCUCUGUUUGCUGUCAUUAUUAUUAUUUUUCUUGAACACUGCAGAGCUGGAUGCUUUGGAGGCUGAUAUAGAGUUUGAGUCAGCUGCAGUCCCGUCAUAUCUUCAACCAGAAGCUGAUUUUGAUGCCGACCUUAACUUACCUGCUGCACCCACUCGCCCUGCAGCAGUCCCAGCAAGCUGGCAGCAGGAGGAUGAGCUAGGAUAGCCAGCGAUGCCUCGAGCAUCACUUCGCAGUUAGAAAUUUCGUUGUAUCUUGAUCUUAACUUGAUGUGCAAACUCUGUGGUUUGCGUCUGAGUCUGAACAAUCUGAUGUACCCUUUUCUCAUGGUAAUGCUUCAGUUUAUUAUAC